AUUUAUGUAGUUUAUAAAAACAUUACAUUUUCAAUGUAAAAAUAAAAGAUAACUUUUCAUAAGUA
rnacentral:tRNA from 1 species